GGGGUUGUAGCUCAGUGGUAGAGCACUUGUCUAGCAUAUGUGAGGCACUGGGUUCAAUUCUCAGCUCUG
rnacentral:tRNA from 1 species